rnacentral:lncRNA from 1 species
CCAUAAAAGUUACAAUGCUGUCAUAAAUUAAUAAAAGAAUUGUCAUUUUCAGUAUUUCCUUGAAUUAUGUUUGUAGAUCAAGAAGAAGUUUCUAAAAACAAUUACAUUUAUGCACUGGAGAAGAGAUGAAAAUUAAGAAGAACCAAGAGCAUCUUUUAAAAUAACUUCAGAAAGCUAGCACAAUGUAAUAGCUGCAGAUUACUUUAUAACUUUACAAAUGAAAUUUACUUUCACAGGCAACAUGGAAAUCUCCAGGAAUAAUUCUUAUAAAACUCAAUUGAGGAAUUCAUUGGAAAGUGAAACCAAUCAGUUG